GUGGGGAAUCUUAGACAAUGGGCGCAAGCCUGAUCUAGCCAUGCCGCGUGAGCGAUGAAGGCCUUAGGGUUGUAAAGCUCUUUCGUGGGGGAAGAUAAUGACUGUACCCCAAGAAGAAGCCCCGGCUAACUCCGUGCCAGCAGCCGCGGUAAUACGGAGGGGGCUAGCGUUGUUCGGAAUUACUGGGCGUAAAGCGCACGUAGGCGGACUGGAAAGUCAGGGGUGAAAUCCCGGGGCUCAACCCCGGAACUGCCUUUGAAACUCCCACUCUUGAGUUCGAGAGAGGUGAGUGGAAUUCCGAGUGUAGAGGUGAAAUUCGUAGAUAUUCGGAGGAACACCAGUGGCGAAGGCGGCUCACUGGCUCGAUACUGACGCUGAGGUGCGAAAGCGUGGGGAGCAAACAGGAUUAGAAACCCCAGUAGUCC
rnacentral:rRNA from 1 species